GACGUAGGAUGCAAGCGUUGUCCGGAUUUAUUGGGCGUAAAGGGCGCGUAGGCGGCUUAUCAAGUCAGGCGUGAAAUUCCCGGGCUCAACCUGGGGGCUGCGCUUGAUACUGAUUGGCUUGAAUGCGGGAGAGGAUAGUGGAAUUCCCAGUGUAGAGGUGAAAUUCGUAGAUAUUGGGAAGAACACCGGUGGCGAAGGCGGCUAUCUGGCCCGUAAUUGACGCUGAGGCGCGAAAGCGUGGGGAGCAAACAGG
rnacentral:rRNA from 1 species